CACCGUAAGAGCUUGGGGUAAGCUACUUGAUUGCAACUCAACGUACCAGGGUUCAACUCCCUUUACGGUGU